rnacentral:tRNA from 1 species
UGGGGAAUCGUCUAGCGGUAGGACAACGGGCUCUGGACCCGUAAAGGUAGGUUCGAAUCCUACUUCCCCAGCCA